rnacentral:rRNA from 1 species
GAUGAACGCUGGCGGCGUGCCUAAUACAUGCAAGUCGAGCGAACGGACGAGAAGCUCGCUUCUCUGAUGUUAGCGGCGGACGGGUGAGUAACACGUGGAUAACCUACCUAUAUGACUGGGAUAACUUCGGGAAACCGGAGUUAAUACCGGAUAAUUUUUUGAACCGCAUGGUUGAAAAGUGAAAGACGGUCUUGCUGUCACUUCUAGAUGGAUCCGCGCUGCAUUAGCUAGUUGGUAAGGUAACGGCUUACCAAGGCAACGAUGCAUAGACGACGUGAGAGGGUGGUCGGCCACAGUGGAACUGAGACACGGUCCAGACUCCGACGGGAGGCAGCAGUAGGGAAUCGUCCGCAAUGGGCGAAAGCCUGACGGAGCCACGCCGCGUGAGUGAUGAAGGUCUUCGGAUCGUAAAACUCUGUUAUUAGGGAAGAACAUAUGUGUAAGUAACUGUGCACAUCGUGACGGUACCUAAUCAGAAAGCCACGGCUAACUACGUG